UACAGAGGUGGCAAGCGUUGUUCGGAAUUACUGGGCGUAAAGGGCGCGUAGGCGGUCGUGACAAGUCACUUGUGAAAUCUCCGGGCUUAACUCGGAACGGUCAAGUGAUACUGUCGGACUAGAGUACAGAAGGGGCAACUGGAAUUCUCGGUGUAGCGGUGAAAUGCGUAGAUAUCAGGAGGAACACCGGUGGCGAAGGCGGGUCUCUGGGCCGAUACUGACGCUGAGGAGCGAAAGCGUGGGGAGCGAACAGG
rnacentral:rRNA from 1 species